UUUUCCCUUCGUGACUCGUGAGGCAUGGUAGAGAAUGCGCCCGCUUCUUCUCUGCUCAGUCUGGCUCCUCCAGAGCACCGUUCAGCGGAAACCAUCAAAGAAGAGUGGCGAUCUCUGAGUCCUCUCCUCUUCGUUGCUUCUCCGGAACGUGCGGAGAAAGGAACUACUCCAUUACACGGAGAGAGGACCCAGCCGCAAUUGCAGAAUCCAGGGAGAAGAAAUCGGUUCUUCUCUUCUCUGUCGACUUCCCCAGGUCACGCCAAAUCGAACCCAUCGCUACCUCGUGAUCUCAGAGAAGGGGAAAUAGCUUACAGCCUUGCAUUUUCUUCUUCUCUCUUGUCAAUCGUCUUCUCCAGAACGUGCAGAGAUUGAAGUCUUCGUUUUCCCCUCUUUUCGAGCUCAAACCCUAAGCACAACGCUGUGAUCCCCCUCCACCUGUAGCGUUUAUACUGUGCCUGAGAAAAGCACUGCACCGUUCAAAAUUUAUUGUUUCCUCGUUUGAUUCCCACAGGCUUCUCCAAUUUCCCUCCCUCCCUUUUGUUUGAUUAAUCUGUGCCAAAAAAAUGUAACUAGUAUUGUCAAAGAUUGCAUGAUACCUUGAUUCCGAAUAUGAGAGAAAGAUAUCCACAUCCAAUUUGAUCGUCAUUUUAUUUAACACUGGUAGUAUUUUAAAUGAUGUAUUGAGCGAGAAAGCGGGGGACGCAACUGGAUUCCGUUUUUAUCUAGUGGUAGUGGUUAUAAUUUGUUAGCAGACCAAAUUCUCUUUUGGAUGUUUUAACAAAAAUCUUCUCGGAUUAUUAGUGAAUGAUUAUUUAUUGUAUUUGAUACUGAACUAAAGUCACUCCCCAAUGGACAUGAUAUCUUGCCCUGUAUCCUCUUGUUUUGCUAUUUGUAUUUGAUACUGAACUAUAAUUCACUGUGUUCGUAUACUCUUGUUUUUCUAUUUGUAUUUGAUACUAAAAACUGUUACACUUGCAACUGGUCACAGAUAUCGCGAUAUUUUAGAAAAUCGGAAUAUUUAUGAGAAAAAUCAAAUAAAACGAAAAAAUGAGAAAAAAAAAUCGCUAGAUUUUGAAAAAUCUCGCCAAAAAUGAAAAUCUCGCAAAUUAUCGCGAUUUCUUCCUGAGAUUUUAAUAUUUUUCAAUUUUUUUGAAAUUUUUAAGGUUUCUUAUUAUUUUUAUUGUUUUUUUAUUUUUUAAAAAAUUGUUGAAAUCUGAAAUUUACCCAAGAACAACUUGGCUGAAAAAUGUCCGAGAAAACCUUGCCGAAAUUUGUCCGAGAACCAUAUUUGUAACAAUGCUUACAACUGAAGAAAUCUAGUCAUUUAUGUACUGCACGUUACUCCAUCGAGUGCACUUGCUGCCCUAGUUUGUAUUGUCAUUGAUGUUUUGCACAUACAACUCAUGUUUUUUUUUAUUGGAGUGAGGAUUUGGAAAAUUACUACUCGAUGCACUUAUUUUGGAGGUUCUGCUGACACAGAACUGCAAGAAAAACUUGUUGGGUUUCCAUCACAUGUAAUCAAGGUACAAAAGAAAGCUACGGCUUAGAUAGUUGGCUGGGGUGUUUAGCAAUGAUGGGAUUUGCAGCGGUAGUUGCAGUUGAAGUGGUUACAGGGAAGGGACUCUUUUAGGAACAGUGAUGAGUGGCAAAGAUGCACCAAAGCUUUGCAUAAGAUUCAUCCGUGCUGCAGGAGUGCUUGAGAUUCAUCUGUGUUGCAGGAGAUGCUAUGACAGAAACUGCAGUAAAGAUUUCUCACUGAUUGGAGUCUCAGGGGACUACUAGAAGUUAUUAAAGUUUGACAUUUGCGGUGUAAAGCAAAGCAAAGCAAUCGUCGAUAGUUUAGUCAUGUGAGGCGAAGUUCACGAGCUGGAGAAAGCUUGACUGGUCUGAGGGCCCCGCAGCGGAGCGGGGCUUCUUUGAAAGGGGGGAGUGAGGAUGGUUCUGAAAGGGCGAAGGUCCGGAAAGCCCUCAAAAAUGGAUGGACAAGCAGAAUGUUCAGGCAAUAGAAGAGUGGGGAGUCCCCGUGACCGAGCUACUGCACGUGGCUGAACAGAUCUCUCUCUCUCUCUCUCUCUCUCUCUCUCUCUCUAUUGUUUGCUAAGGCUGAUAAUCACAUUGAAGGAUAUUCAAUUCACAUUAAAGGAUAUUAAUUGUGGAGGAUCAACCAGUGUUGCAUGAUAUUUAAUGAUGCUAAAUAUAUAUCCUCACAAAAUGUUUACAGCUCUGACCAGAAUUAUCAGUGAGGACUGUCUGUGAACGUCAGUGAUGGUUUGUAAUCAAAGGCAUCACAGUUGCUUGUGUUUCCUGUAGUAUCUGUUUGUGAGAUCUAUUUGAAGCUUAGAUACCGCUGAUGCUGUGAUGGUUUCUGUUUUCCGUGCCUUGAUGUACAUCACUUAUCGAUAUGGCUAUAAGGUAACUGAAAGAUUCCUGUGGAUUUUAUGGGUUCCAUAAUGCAACGUGAAGCACACUUCAAUGGACAGACAAUUUUCCGUUACUAGAUGUA